rnacentral:rRNA from 1 species
CUACGGGUGGCAGCAGUGGGGAAUAUUGGACAAUGGGCGAAAGCCUGAUCCAGCCAUGCCGCGUGUGUGAAGAAGGCCUUCGGGUUGUAAAGCACUUUCAGUGGGGAAGAAAGCCUUGGGGCUAAUACCCUCGAGGAAGGACAUCACCCACAGAAGAAGCACCGGCUAACUCCGUGCCAGCAGCCGCGGUAAUACGGAGGGUGCGAGCGUUAAUCGGAAUUACUGGGCGUAAAGCGCGCGUAGGCGGUCUGAUAAGCCGGUUGUGAAAGCCCCGGGCUCAACCUGGGAACGGCAUCCGGAACUGUCAGGCUAGAGUGCAGGAGAGGAAGGUAGAAUUCCCGGUGUAGCGGUGACAUGCGUAGAGAUCGGGAGGAAUACCAGUGGCGAAGGCGGCCUUCUGGACUGACACUGACGCUGAGGUGCGAAAGCGUGGGUAGCAAACAGGAUUAGAUACCCCUGUAGUC